UUUGCUGAGUCUUUCGCUUUCCUGUUCUUCUCGAACCCAUCGAACACUUAGAUAGUCUUCGAGAAAAACAGCAAAACCCAUCUUCUUCUUCUCAAAGCAGAACCCGUCUUCUUCUCUUAAAGAAUUGAACCCAUCUUCUUCGAAACCCAUCUUCUGAAAACACUUGAUUAGGGUUCGAUCUGCUCAAUCAGGAUUUUCAAUUUGGGGAUUUGAAGGAGGAGGAUGGGGGGUGUGGUCUCUCCGGUACAUUAAUCAAUAAAUCUGGUGAAUCAAUAAAUCUGGUGAGUCAAUUUCGAUGUUUUAGAUUAGGGUUGGUUCGAUUUAUCUUGUCCAUUGGUGCCUUUCACCCCCCUUUGAUUACUCCAAUUUCAAUUUGAUUGGUCACACACAAUGAAGCGCUAGAGGACCGAAGAAAUCUGGGAUUUCGAGCAAGAGAGAUAUCGUGACAUUAAAAAGUUAGAUUUUGCAAAGAAGCAUAUAACAAACCACCAUAGCUGCUCUUCAUAGCCAGACCAUGCCAGCCUCAGCUGUUGACAGCUUUUAAGUGAUGGCUUCCAAACAAAGAGGCAGUUGCAUAGGUGGAGUUGUCCUUCUUCAUCAGCUCGGCCCGGUCUUAUAGGUUCCAAGCGGUCGACUCUCUUUCACUCUUUCUCAGGCAAAGCUUGCAUUUCUGAAAGGCUGGCAUGAACAUAUAUUCAAGAGCAUCGGCUGAAGGGAAACGCGUUCAGAUUGCAGGGCGCCAAUACAUUGAUAUACCUGGACAAUAUAUUUAUACACAGCGCCUCAAAGGAGCCAAGGUCAAUGAUAAGGUUUGGUACUUCAUAUGGUACUGCUGGUAGAAGUGAGAAGGGGAGCAGAGGUAGAAGCUUGGGAGCUUUGGAAAGAUGAUGAAGUCUCUGCUUGAGAGAGCAGUUAAGCGCACCGGAUAUACGUCCUUUAGAGUUAAAUGAGUGGGAGAAGUUUGUUGUCAACACAUAUGUGCAUGAGCCAUGAAGUAGCGCUUGUUGCCGGUCUAUUUAGGAAAGCAUCUUUUUUUGUGCUUCUCUACUGGUACAUUGUCAUGCACCAUGUGUUGCAUGUUUUGAAACAGUGGAUAUAUAUGUAUCAGCUUUUUGAUGUCCCAAGUAGAUGGGCAUGCACUAGAAUGCUUUUCUUGUUUAAAAUGUUGGGUUCAAUGAUUACUGUUUUGCAAUGUUUAUAUUUGAUUGUUUGUAAUGUUUAUAUUUAGUAUGUAAAUGGAUCAGAUGCACAAUCUAAUUCAGGAA